UCUACCAUUACUUAACAGCCUCUCCUUUUGGAGCAAAACAGCUGUGGAGAGUAAGCAAAUUUAGCAGUUUAGUCCUUCAAACAAAAUAAAGCAGAUUUCUUCAUGCAGAGGAAGGCUUUUGACAGCACCAUUUAUAAUAAUAGGAGAAGAGCUACACAAAUAGGAUAAACCUCUGCAGAGAGUUCAGCAGCAGCUGUGAGAUCCUUGUGACACUGCUGGUCUGGUGUGCUGAAAUCUGAGAGGAGUGGC